UACGGAGGGUGCGAGCGUUAUCCGGAUUCACUGGGUUUAAAGGGUGCGUAGGUGGGACUGUAAGUCAGUGGUGAAAUCUCUGGGCUUAACUCAGAAACUGCCAUUGAUACUAUGUUUCUUGAAUUUUCUGGAGGUCAGCGGAAUAUGUCAUGUAGCGGUGAAAUGCUUAGGUAUGACAUAGAACACCAAUUGCGAAGGCAGCUGGCUACAGGGAUAUUGACACUGAGGCACGAAAGCGUGGGGAGCAAACAGG
rnacentral:rRNA from 1 species